GACACACGAUCUCCUACCAUUACACCAAUUCCGUUUAAACCAGCUACAAAUGAUUUGGUAUCACAAUUUUAUGCCAUGGGUGGCGACAAGGUUACCUCAUUAGCAGAUCUGAACAUGCAGUUGCCUCUACUUUUUCCUGGUGGAAAGAACAAUACAUAUAUCCGUGAAAUACUCGGCGAUUUCCUCUCCUGGUUGACUCUAGAUCAGAACGAGACCUCUCCAAUAGACAAAACUAAUAUCAGAAGUCCAGCAUAUCAGACUUCCGUGUCUUGUCCGUGUUCAAAGUGUUUUGCUUUCGAGCAGAACAAAAACCUCACCCGAAGAUAUCCCUCGCCGUUAGCCACCGAACCAGCUAGAUUAGUUCCUGUAACAGAUCCUGUAAACUGUGACGUGAGUAGUGACGGGGUAACAGAGAAUGGCGACGACGAGUUAAGUUUGCGUGGAGACAAAGACUUUCACUGCAAGGAAUGUGGAAAAUGUUUCAAAAGGUCAUCAACGUUAUCGACACACAUGCUGAUACACAGUGAUACCCGGCCUUACCCCUGUCCUUAUUGUGGUAAACGCUUCCAUCAAAAAUCAGACAUGAAAAAACAUACCUAUGUACACACUGGUGAAAAACCUCACAAAUGUACUAUAUGUGGCAAAGCUUUCAGCCAGUCAUCAAAUUUAAUCACUCACAGUCGUAAACAUUCCGGAUACAAACCAUUUUCCUGUUCUCAGUGCGGCAGAACAUUCCAGAGAAAAGUUGACCUACGUCGCCAUCAUGAAGUCAGCAAUCAUCACUGACUUUCAGUUUUUCAUUUGUUUUUGUAUAUUAAAUUUGUUAACUUAUUGCAUUUUUCGAUUAGUAUGCUCUUAAUACCGCCACCACCACUUUACGUCUCCGAUACACAUAUUUAUUAUCAGCUGUAUUUUGUUGGCAAUUUUAGAUCUUAAAUUGUAAAACAAAUUCUCACGUCGUAACAUACAUUAAGGAUGAUAAUCCAAUAUAAGAACCCUUAGAAAGUCGAAAUGAAAGAGGAGCGGGUGGAAACAGGUAAUUCUAUAAUAAUACCAAAUUAAGUCAGUCACAAAAUGACGUAAAUCCCGAUUAUCGUAUUCCUAUAAUUAUACUACAUAUACUCAUGGCGAACUAAACCAAUGUAGUUAAAUUUCUUCGAUUUAUUAAACCCCAUAGAAAAACUAGUUGAGAUGUAUGUACAAAGUAUCACUGUACUUUUAUUUAUUUAUAUGAAAUAGUGACUUGAUUUAUGUAUGAUUAACUGUGAUAUGUUUGUAUAUAAUGUUAUUCUUUUAGUAUCCAUCUCUAUGCAAAUAUAGCCUGCGAGAACAAGAUAAAUUUCUCAAUAAAAGGAGUCGCCCGAUUUGGUUCAUUGGGCUAUAUAUUGUGAUUACUGAUAAGAAGCAUUUGUGCUUAACUUUUUUUUAUUAUUCAUCCAUGACUGAGGCAAAAGUACCAUCGCGGAUUUGAAUUGAACUGUUACGGGAAUAAUUUGUUCAACAGAACAGAACAUUUUGAUUACACACAUGAAUGUAUAAUCCCUGUCGCAAAAUCACAUUACAGCAGUUCGAAUAGUUAUUGUUGCCUCACAUGCUUGAAAGUUAUAUCCCAUACAUCUUUAUCCUUGGGGAAUUGCAAUUUUCCAACUUAAGUGUUCACGCUCCAAAAAACUAUAAAGAUAUAUUUAUUUAUUUAUUUAUAUACAUGUAUACCCAUCCACUUUAAUUAAUGCUUAAAUAUAAUGUGAACUGAAUACACCCUUUUCCCUCGUGCAGCAAUUACAAUGUUCGGUUACUGAAGAACCUAUUGACUUGAAUCAAACUGCACAUAAUUAUUGUGUCAUACAAAUCUCUACCUCCCAAAUUUCUAUAGUCGACUUUCUCCCAUUGCAAUGAUGCUCCAGUUACUUGUUUACGAAUCUUUUUCGGGCUCAUAAUUUCCCCCCAACGCCAAUGACCACUUCUGACCGGAAGUUAAUCUGGGGUACUUCUUGAAUAGCUUGCAUGUACUUCCAUUUCAAGCUUCACACCUUGUCUCCCCAUAUAACUCGAUUAUCAUGUCCUCAAGUUCAAGUCCAUGCCAUACCGUAUGCGGUACCUAAAUCUUGUAUACUUGAUUACAAAGAAACGAAACAUGUACUCUGAACGGAUUCAAAGGCGCCAUCAACUAAGCAUAUAGCUUAAUUUUAACGCGGACGUAUUUUCUACUAAAACCCCGACGUUCAUAUUUGAAUGGAAUUAACGUUUUAUUUGUAAAGAUUUAAAAUAUCAUUUGCUCAAAUUUUUAACUUUAGCAAAUGGGAAGACGGUAUAAUACGUGUCUUGCAAAAGUUAGCCAUUUAUAUCAUCUCUAGUACGUCUUUUCCUUUUAUAGAUCAUCGUCAUUCCCUCCCUCUUUCUGAACUGAUAUCCCCUCUAUAACUAUUCCGUUUACAAUAGUUAUAUUUUAUAUAAAUAAUGUUUAAUUGAACUUUAUGUGUCUGUUUGUCUGAUAUAUUCUAUUUUUACGACGUUUCUUUCAAUUGCUUAAUCUAUUUAAUGACGUCUCCUACUUUUUGGCCAUAUUAUUUCUCAAGUCACUCGGGACACGUCGUUUUAAUUUUGCAAACUAUUGAUGAAACGAGAAUUAAGCCCCAUAUAAACUACACAGACUUGUUGAAUACCGUCGAGGGCUGAUACUCGGUGUAUUGGCCGUCUUUAUGACUAAUAAGAGGCUACGCGGUAAGCCAUUUUGCGUUCUGAUUUGAGUUUAUUGCCUUAAUCGAGUCGAAUAUUAACCAUUUUAUUGUGAAUUUAUUUCAUGAUGUAUGUUUGUGAUUUUUGAUAGUUUUUCUUGAUAAUUAAAUUAUAUAUGUAUU